rnacentral:rRNA from 1 species
UUACGCUGUUAUCCCUAAGGUAAUUUAAUCUUAUAAUCAAUAUCAAUGGAUCACGCAAUUAUAAAUCAAUAUAACCAACAUAAAGAGGAGUUAAAUUAUAUUCCUCUCAUCGCCCCAACAAAACAAAUAGGCCCACUUAACUAAACAAAACAAACAAUACACAAAUAAUAGACCAAAUGUUAAACUCUAUAGGGUCUUCUCGUCCCAUAAAAACAUUUAAGAAUUUUAACUCAAAAACUAAAUUCAAUAAAACAUUCACCAACUUAAGACAGCUCGUAUCUCGUCAAGCCAUUCAUUCCAGAUCACAAUUAAAGAACUAAUGAUUAUGCUACCUUUGCACGGUCAAAAUACCGCGGCCCUUCAACACUCAGUCAGCGGGCAGGCCAUACUUCAAAAACUAACAAGAAAAGAUGUUUUUGAUAAACAGGCG